UACGUAGGGGGCUAGCGUUGUCCGGAAUCAUUGGGCGUAAAGAGCGUGUAGGCGGCCAGAUAAGUCCGCUGUGAAAAUCCAGGGCUUAACCCUGGACCUGCAGUGGGUACGGGCAGACUAGAGUGCGGUAGGGGAGAUCGGAAUUCCUGGUGUAGCGGUGAAAUGCGCAGAUAUCAGGAGGAACACCGGUGGCGAAGGCGGAUCUCUGGGCCGUAACUGACGCUGAGGAGCGAAAGCAUGGGGAGCGAACAGG
rnacentral:rRNA from 1 species